AUUGAACGCUGGCGGCAGGCCUAACACAUGCAAGUCGAGCGGAGCGGCGGACGGGGGAGGAAUGCCUAGGAAUCUGCCUGUUCGUGGGGGAUAACGUUCGGAAAUGGGCGCUAUUACCGCAUCCUAUCAGAUGAGCCUAGGCCGGAUUAGCUAGUUGGUGGGGUAAAGGCCUACCAAGGCGACGAUCCGUAACUGGUCUGAGAGGAUGAUCAGUCACACUGGAACUGAGACACGGUCCAGACUCCUACGGGAGGCAGCAGUGGGGAAUAUUGGACAAUGGGCGAAAGCCUGAUCCAGCCAUGCCGCGUGUGUGAAGAAGGUCUUCGGAUUGUAAAGCACUUUAAGUUGGGAGGCGUUACCAGCAGAAUAAGCACCGGCUAACUUCGUGCCAGCAGCCGCGGUAAUAC
rnacentral:rRNA from 1 species